rnacentral:rRNA from 1 species
CCUANGGGGGGCAGCAAUUAGGAAUCUUGCGCAAUGGGCGAAAGCCUGGCGCAGCGACGUCGCGUGACUGAUGAAGUCUUUCGGGAUGUAAAGGUCUUUUUUGGGGGAAGAAGGAUGUGACGGUACCCCAAGAAUAAGCCCCGGCUAACUACGUGCCAGCAGCCGCGGUAAUACGUAGGGGGCGAGCGUUGUCCGAAUUUACUGGGCGUAAAGCGCGCGUAGGCGGGCUUUUAAGUUGGGGGUGAAAUCCCGAGGCUCAACCUCGGAACUGCCUCCAAAACUGGGAGCCUUGAGGUUUGGGAGGGAAGUGGAAUUCCUGGUGUAGCGGUGAAAUGCGUAGAUAUCAGGAGGAACACCUGUGGCGAAGGCGGCUUCCUGGCCAUAUCCUGACGCUGAGGUGCGAAAGCUAGGGGAGCAAACGGGAUUAGAUACCCUUNUANUC